rnacentral:rRNA from 1 species
AGGGAAUCUUCCGCAAUGGACGAAAGUCUGACGGAGCAACGCCGCGUGAGUGAAGAAGGUUUUCGGAUCGUAAAACUCUGUUGUUAGGGAAGAACAAGUCAGGUAGUAACUGACCUGACCUUGACGGUACCUAACCAGAAAGCCACGGCUAACUACGUGCCAGCAGCCGCGGUAAUACGUAGGUGGCAAGCGUUGUCCGGAUUUAUUGGGCGUAAAGCGCUCGCAGGCGGUCUUUGAAGUCUGAUGUGAAAGCCCACGGCUUAACCGUGGAGGGUCAUUGGAAACUGGAGGACUUGAGUGCAGAAGAGGAGAGUGGAAUUCCAUGUGUAGCGGUGAAAUGCGUAGAGAUAUGGAGGAACACCAGUGGCGAAGGCGACUCUCUGGUCUGUAACUGACGCUGAGGAGCGAAAGCGUGGGUAGCGAAC